rnacentral:snRNA from 1 species
GUGCCUGCUUCAGCAGCACAUAUACUGCAAUUGGAAUAAAACAGAGAUGAUUAGCAUGGCCCUUGCAUAAGGAUGACAUGCAAUUUCAGGAAGCAUUCCAUAUCUUU